rnacentral:rRNA from 1 species
ACGAACGCUGGCGGCGUGCUUAACCCAUGCAAGUCGCACGGAAAGGCCCUGCUUUUGUGGGGUGCUCGAGUGGCGAACGGGUGAGUAACACGUGAGUAACCUGCCCUUGACUUUGGGAUAACUUCAGGAAACUGGGGCUAAUACCGGAUAGGAGCUCCUGCUGCAUGGUGGGGGUUGGAAAGUUUCGGCGGUUGGGGAUGGACUCGCGGCUUAUCAGCUUGUUGGUGGGGUAGUGGCUUACCAAGGCUUUGACGGGUAGCCGGCCUGAGAGGGUGACCGGCCACAUUGGGACUGAGAUACGGCCCAGACUCCUACGGGAGGCAGCAGUGGGGAAUAUUGCACAAUGGGCGGAAGCCUGAUGCAGCAACGCCGCGUGCGGGAUGACGGCCUUCGGGUUGUAAACCGCUUUCGCCUGUGACGAAGCGUGAGUGACGGUAAUGGGUAAAGAAGCACCGGCUAACUACGUG